rnacentral:rRNA from 1 species
GACGAACGCUGGCGGCGUGCCUAAUACAUGCAAGUAGAACGCACAGUUUAUACCGUAGCUUGCUCCACCAUAAACUGUGAGUUGCGAACGGGUGAGUAACGCGUAGGUAACCUGCCUGGUAGCGGGGGAUAACUAUUGGAAACGAUAGCUAAUACCGCAUAAUAUUAAUUAUUGCAUGAUAAUUGAUUGAAAGAUGCAAUUGCAUCACUACCAGAUGGACCUGCGUUGUAUUAGCUAGUAGGUGAGGUAACGGCUCACCUAGGCGACGAUACAUAGCCGACCUGAGAGGGUGAUAGGCCACACUGGGACUGAGACACGGCCCAGACUCCUACGGGAGGCAGCAGUAGGGAAUCUUCGGCAAUGGACGAAAGUCUGACCGAGCAACGCCGCGUGAGUGAAGAAGGUUUUCGGAUCGUAAAGCUCUGUUGUAAGAGAAGAACGGGUGUGAGAGUGGAAAGUUCACACUGUGACGGUAUCUUACCAGAAAGGGACGGCUAACUACGUG